GACGAACGCUGGCGGCGUGCUUAACACAUGCAAGUCGAGCGAGGUGCUUGCACCUAGCGGCGAACGGGUGAGUAACACGUGAGCAACCUGCCCUUGGCUCUGGGAUAGCCUC
rnacentral:rRNA from 1 species